rnacentral:rRNA from 1 species
GAGCAUCUCAAUUUUAUAACACCGUAUUAAGCGCUUGGGUCGUAAUUGUUAGGCCUUUUGGGUUNUUUCAAUUGCGUUUCUCCAAUGCGCACGGUAAAGCCUGCUUCGAGAGUAAGUGGGUAAUCCAUUGGAAGUAAUGAUUUCCUUAUUUUUAUAAACAGCACACCAAUAUACGGCAUUCAUUCCCGAGACGGCUUAGUUCCGACUUUGUGCGAAUGUAAUGUAUUCUUAUCCGUAUGUGCGAUUGUCAAUUCAUGGUGGGGACAGACCAUUGNUAAUUGUUGGUCUCGGUCUUAACUANGAAUGCCUUUGUACGGGUCUUUU